UACGAAGGGGGCUAGCGUUGCUCGGAAUUACUGGGCGUAAAGGGAGCGUAGGCGGACAGUUUAUUCAGAGGUGAAAGCCCAGGGCUCAACCUUGGAAUUGCCUUUGAUACUGAUUGUCUUGAGUAUGGGAGAGGUUAGCGGAACUCCGAGUGUAGAGGUGAAAUUCGUAGAUAUUCGGAAGAACACCAGUGGCGAAGGCGGCUAACUGGCCCAUUACUGACGCUGAGGCUCGAAAGCGUGGGGAGCAAACAGG
rnacentral:rRNA from 1 species